UGUCAAAAGUAAAGGUUAACCAGAGUACCUCAAACAAUAAUCUAAUUAUUUCUAUAAAGUGCUUAAAAUCCGUUGAUAAAUAGUAGUUUUUAGGUAUGUCGUUUCACUGAAGCAAAGUAAGAAACUGAAAAUAUAAACUUUUUAAGUGCUAACUUGAAUCUUUACCGACGAGUAACCUUAUUCUGGAAAGCCCAUUAUUAACUCAUAACCCUUUGAUUUCGUUUAGUUGUGAGAGCUAUUUCUCUAUGAAAAUAUUCCAAAGGCUUUGAAAAUGUGUACUCAGAAGUAUACGGCAGUGAUUUAUGCACGUACUUCAAUUUGAACAGCCGUCUUGUAUUUCUUUGAAGUACUUAAAAAUCCGUUGAUGAUUAGUAGUUUUUAUGCCGUUUUACUGAAGCAAAUUGUCACUACACAAGCAUUUUGAAGCUAAAUCACUCGGUGGUGAAAGCUUCUUUCUCUAUGAAAAUAUUCCAGAGGCUUUGAAAGCGUGCAACUGUGAUGCUGUUCGAGUGAUCGGUUUUGUAGGAGGUUGCCUACUCUUCACUAUAGUUCUUUGCAUCAUCAUCUGGUGGCCAACUGUAUCAUAUGUAAUAGGAAUGGGUUGAAUAGCCACUGAAUGAAUCUUCUCAUCUUAUAAUGUAUAUGUAGUUGCCAUAAGAUGUGACCGACACUUCCAAUGUCUUCUGGCAUCAAUUAGUUUUACUCAUAGCUCUUUGCAUUUUGAUCAUAUCUUUGAUCAUAGCAGACAGGAUAAUUAGUGGUCGUUGGAAGACUAAACCCGGGCACGUGCCACCUGAUUAUUACUCACGACGGAACGGAGCAGGGUAUCUGCAAGGAGCCUAAAAUGUUAAAGGAUCACAUUAUCCGCUACAGUUGGUUUGAAUUGAUGCAGAUAUAUGACAAAGUAGCGGAUUGUAUAGAUCUAUUCAAUAAAAUAUACUGUGGUCAAAUUUUUGUGAUGU
rnacentral:misc_RNA from 1 species